UGGUUCCGGCAUCGAUGAAGAACGCAGCGAAAUGCGAUAAGUAAUGUGAAUUGCAGAAUUCAGUGAAUCAUCGAGUCUUUGAACGCACAUUGCGCCCCCUGGUAUUCCGGGGGGCAUGCCUGUCCGAGCGUCAUUGCUGCCCUCAAGCACGGCUUGUGUGUUGGGCCCCCGUCCCCCUCUCCCGGGGGACGGGCCCGAAAGGCAGCGGCGGCACCGCGUCCGGUCCUCGAGCGUAUGGGGCUUUGUCACCUGCUCUGUAGGCCCGGCCGGCGCCAGCCGACACCCAACUUUAUUUUUCUAAGGUUGACCUCGGAUCAGGUAGGGAUACCCGCUGA
rnacentral:misc_RNA from 1 species